rnacentral:rRNA from 1 species
UACGUAGGGGGCAAGCGUUGUCCGGAAUCAUUGGGCGUAAAGCGCGUGUAGGCGGCUCAGUAAGUCUGCUGUGAAAGUCCAGGGCUCAACCCUGGGAUGCCGGUGGAUACUGCUGAACUAGAGUGCGGAAGAGGCGAGUGGAAUUCCCGGUGUAGCGGUGAGAUGCGCAGAUAUCGGGAGGAACACCAAUUGCGAAGGCAGCUCGCUGGGACGUUACUGACGCUGAGACGCGAAAGCGUGGGGAGCAAACAGG